CGCCCGUCACACCACGGGAGUUGGAGACGCCCGAAGCCGAUUAUCUAACCUUUUGGAAGAAGUCGUCGAAGGUGGAAUCAAUAACUGGGGUGAAGUCGUAACAAGGUAGCCGUAUCGGAAGGUGCGGCUGGAUCACCUCCUUUCUAAGGAGA
rnacentral:rRNA from 1 species